rnacentral:rRNA from 1 species
CCUACGGGGUGCAGCAGUGGGGAAUAUUGGACAAUGGGCGAAAGCCUGAUCCAGCCAUGCCGCGUGUGUGAAGAAGGCCUUCGGGUUGUAAAGCACUUUCAGUGGGGAAGAAAGCCUUGGGGCUAAUACCCUCGAGGAAGGACAUCACCCACAGAAGAAGCACCGGCUAACUCCGUGCCAGCAGCCGCGGUAAUACGGAGGGUGCGAGCGUUAAUCGGAAUUACUGGGCGUAAAGCGCGCGUAGGCGGUCUGAUAAGCCGGUUGUGAAAGCCCCGGGCUCAACCUGGGAACGGCAUCCGGAACUGUCAGGGUAGAGUGCAGGAGAGGAAGGUAGAAUUCCCGGUGUAGCGGUGAAAUGCGUAGAGAUCGGAAGGAAUACCAGUGGCGAAGGCGGCCUUCUGGACUGACACUGACGCUGAGGUGCGAAAGCGUGGGUAGCAAACAGGAUUAGAUACCCUAGUAGUC